GGUCACCUACGGGACGCAGCAGUGGGGAAUAUUGGGCAAUGGGCGAAAGCCUGACCCAGCAACGCCGCGUGAGGGAAGAAGGCUUUCGGGUUGUAAACUUCUUUUGACAGGGAAGAGCAGAAGACGGUACCUGUCGAAUAAGCCACGGCUAACUACGUGUCAGCAGCCGCGGUAAUACGGAGGGUGCGAGCGUUAAUCGGAAUUACUGGGCGUAAAGCGCUCGUAGGCGGUAUGUCAAGUCAAGGGUGAAAUCCCCGCGCUCAACGUGGGAACUGCCUUUGAAACUGGCAAACUGGAGUGUGUGG
rnacentral:rRNA from 1 species